CUUCUUGCACAUUCUUCGCACACAUAUUCAGUGUUCAGGAAAGAUCUGUAGAAAUUUUGGUGGUUCAGUCUCCAUUUCGUUCGAAUAGCAAAAUAUCGCUUUUAAGACAGUUUAUGCCCAAAGAAGUGGUAUCGACGGCAAGAACAAUAUUCCUGAUAUAUGUUUUGAGCAAGUAACUCUGUUAUAACAAAAAGCAGACGCUCUGUGAGUCAGGUAAAAAUUUUCUCAAGGAGUCUAUUGAGAAUAAGAAGACGGAAAUAAAGCGUUCAGAAUGGCACUCAACCCGCAGUACGAACAGAUCGGCAACGGUUUCGUCACUCAAUACUACGGGAUGUUCGACAAUCCUGCCACACGGGCAAACCUAGUUGCUCUCUAUAAUGUUGAGCAUUCUUUUAUGACGUUCGAAGGUCAACAAAUCCAAGGAGCUGCAAAAAUACAAGAAAAAUUACAAAGCUUAACCUUCCAAAAGAUAAAUCGAGCAAUAACAGCGAUCGAUUCCCAGCCAAUGUUUGACGGUGGUGUCCUGAUCAAUGUCCUCGGUAGAUUGCAAACCGAUGAUGAUCCGCCCCACGCAUACACGCAAACGUUCGUACUGAAACCAAUCGAGAGCAGCUUUUUUGUUCAGCACGACGUCUUCAGAUUAGCAUUGCAUAAUAUGGCAUAGCGUGAUUGCCACCGUGUCACCACUUUUACCGCUAGAAACCGUUGUUAUCCGCAAAUAUUACAUCCGCUGCUGGCAUGCUACCGGUAACUUUUAAGACGAGUCAAAUUUUUCCUCCGACGGAUCCGGACUAUCAAGAUGCGACACCCAACGUGGAUAUUCGAGUAAUAAGCCAAUAGAAUAUUUAAAACAAAUGUAGAGGGACGACGACAAGAUGCACAUUACGAAGCGUGUAAAGUAAUAAUAGUGGAAGAGUUUCACAAAUAAUUGUAAUUGAGAAUCUGCAGGAAAGUGCGCGUUGGAAGCGACAUCAGACUAUACUAUCACAGCUGUUGAUAUAUAUAUUUUCUUCCGGCUAAAACGCCCUUCUGUUUUGAGUCCUCAUUUUGUUUUAAAAAGCAUUAUACCUUCACCAUUUAAUUAAUUGUAAUGCCUCUACGGUUUAUGUUUGUUUCAACCAGGAACUAAAUAAAAUUAUGAGAAAAGAAAACUGUUACAAACGCAUUGCAUUGUGGUGAACAUGAUUUUACGUUUUUGUGUGAGUUAUAGAUUGGCACCGCAUGGCACAUUGGUGUGGUUUCCAAAUUCAGGUUCGACACAAAGAUGACGGCUCUUACCUGCUGGCAACCUUCUUGUAUGGAUGUCAGUCUUGAGCAGGAAAGGAAUCCAUUCGAAGUGCGACGAUGAUCCUCCACAUGCCUACUCGCAAACGUUCAUCCUGAAGCCGUUGGAUAAUUCCUACUUCUGUGCACACGAUGUAUUCCGUCUAAGCAUCCACAAUAGUGUGUGAAUCUUGCCCAGGCCAAAUGUAUCGUAGCCAGCAGGAACAACAGGACGAAAUGCUUCAACAUCAACCAACACGUUACAACUGUUCUACCUUUCUCCCGUCAUAAUUGGGAUAGCAUUCCGAGAUAAAAUAAUAUUGUAAUUAAUUACCGAUUCGAUAAAGAGAAAAACUUGCUUAAUUUAGAAACUAACACUGAAUAAAAACAUUUUUUGCUUAUUGGUAUAAAACUAGAA